ACUCGGACACUCCCUUGGAAACUCAGUCGCAUGAGAAGAUCGCCAGCCCGGAAAGCAGAAUGUGACACUCGUUAGAAUUGAGGCCAGUGCCCAAAUCCCUGCCAGCAGCAUCAUGUUACUCCGAGUGAGAGGAACAUCAGGAACCUAGCGGAUGAAGGAGCUGGAGCAGACAACAGGGCAGACUGUGGGCACGUGGCAGGAUGCAAAAAACAUCGGAGGUAACUCAUCUGUGCCUAAAACGACCCAGACCUCAACUCCAGGCUGUGACAGGUAAGGCUGCCUUCCACGGGCCGCGAGCGGCGCGAGCAGGAUGGAGCUUCGCCCCGCGGCUGCUGGGGAAAGCCUCGUCCUCCCCGCGUACGGCAGCAGCGUGCCCGUGCCCUCGCAAAAGUCACUUUUUAGUUCCCGAGUUGCCCGGCCCACCAUAAAGGAGCAGAAAUGCAGGGCCGGGACGGCCGCAGCGCUCAUGGACAUACCUACUCAUCGGCAGAGCAGAAGCAUGUGCAGAUGCCCUCAGCAGGCGAGAGCGAGCCCCAGCUCAGUGCCCGCACCCUGAGCAGUCUGCAAAACCCCACCGACAGCGACUGGCACGCCUGAAAAAAACCCUUAUGGGAAAAAGGUUUGUACUGAAAGUCACAGUACCCUGCUGGACAAAAAGCUAAUCCCAUGCAUUAAGAUACUUCAAAAGUAAUGCUGCUAUGACCAUUAAUAAAUGAGAACAUGGGAAAAUGGGUAAGAGUUCACAAAUAAAUAAUAUGGAAGGGAGGUAAAUGCGAAUGGAAAUGCAACUAGGAUUUCAGCCACCUGCAAUUUAUUUCAUGGAAAAAAAAAAAUCUACGCACAUGCUAAAAAACACAAACCCCUCUCAAUUUAUAGACCAGAGUGGAGAACUCAAGACCUGCUGUCUAUCUGGAGAGAGGGAACAGCGCUGGUGCAUUUAUGGGCCAUUAUCCAACACAAGCAAAUGUAAUCAAUAUUAAUCAUUUGACAGAAAUCAUGGAAGAGAUGGUCACCCUAACAGCACACUGACACACACGCGAGGUUUCCUGCUUUGAAAACAAACACUUACUUUGGCUUUGAUUCAGCAUUUCUUUAGGAACUCUGAGGUCUCCUGAGACAAUGUUUUGCUACAUUGGCCUCCGCUAAGUGAAAACUCCAUUUCA